AACGAACGCUGGCGGCAUGCCUAACACAUGCAAGUCGAGCGCCCGUAGCAAUACGGGAGCGGCGCACGGGUGAGUAACGCGUGGGAACCUGCCCAGAGGUCUGGGACAACCGCGGGAAACUGCGGCUGAUACCGGAUGAUUCCUGAGGGACAAAGAUUUAUCGCCUUUGGAGGGGCCCGCGUCGGAUUAGGUAGUUGGUGGGGUAACGGCUCACCAAGCCUAUGAUCCGUAACUGGUCUGAGAGGAUGACCAGUCACACUGGGACUGAGACACGGCCCAGACUCCUACGGGAGGCAGCAGUGGGGAGUAUUGGACAAUGGGGGCAACCCUGAUCCAGCAAUGCCGCGUGGGUGAUGAAGGCCUUCGGUUGUAAGACCUUCGUCGGGACGGAUGAUGACGGUACCGCAGAAGAAGACCCGGCUAACUUCGUGCCAGCAGCCGCGGUAA
rnacentral:rRNA from 1 species